rnacentral:rRNA from 1 species
AGUGAACGCUGGCGGCGUGCUUAACACAUGCAAGUCGAACGAUGAGCUUGGAGCUUGCUCUGGGGGAUUGGUGGCGAACGGGUGAGUAACACGUGAGUAACCUGCCCUGGACUCUGGGAUAACUUCGAGAAAUCGGAGCUAAUACCGGAUAGGACCUUGCACCGCAUGGUGUGGGGUGGAAAGUUUUUCGGUUUGGGAUGGACUCGCGGCCUAUCAGCUUGUUGGUGAGGUAAUGGCUCAACAAGGCGUCGACGGGUAGCCGGCCUGAGAGGGUGACCGGCGACACUGGGACUGAGACACGGCCCAGACUCCUACGGGAGGCAGCAGUGGGGAAUAUUGCACAAUGGGCGCAAGCCUGAUGCAGCAACGCCGCGUGCGGGAUGACGGCCUUCGGGUUGUAAACCGCUUUUAGUAGGGAAGAAGCCUUCGGGUGACGGUACCUGCAGAAAAAGGACCGGCUAACUACGUGCCAGCCGCCGCAGUAAUAC